CAUAGCCAAGCCAGAUACACAAACACACAUGUAUAGCUUUCAAGGUCAAUCGAGAAAGAGAGUCCAAUCGCAAAUUGACGUGUCUUGGAUUUAUCGACGAUGCAACGGAUUUUCUUCCGUUCACGGAGGAUUGCAAGUUCAGUGGUAUAACAUAUUUCUUAGAUAUAUCUUAACAAGUAUACCGAACAAAGUACACGAUUUAUCAUCGGAGAUAUUUCGAAAUAAAAGAACAAUAAACGUCGAGAAAUAUUCCGACAAUUAUGCUAUGAUCAUCGAACGUUUUGUUCAUGAUUUGUUUGCGCAAUCGAAUAAUAUCAAACAUUUCUAAUAUUAUUGAGAAGUAUAGAAAAAAAGAAAGAAAAAACAGAGAACGAAAAAAAAAAGAGAAAAAGAAUCUCAAUAAUUUGACUUUUUCCGAAUAUGAAACUUUGUGCAACGAAUCCAAUGAUAUUUUUCAUCGACAGAUAUCUCUCGAAUGAAUCAUACAAAAUACCAUAUUCUCUUUCUCUUUACUCAACAAAAUGACGAGACAAACAGCGAGAGAGAGAGAGAGAGACAUAAUUCGAUUAGAGGCCGAGCAUAUUGGAAGCAGCAAGCUGCUCAUUUUACCACGUUACAUAAGAAACCGUAACGGGAGAGCACUGUUAAUGGUUACUUCUUAUUGUCGAAGAAGAGAGUUGUCCUGAAACAACAUAGUUUUCAUACUAUAUCGAAUGCAAGUUAUUCUUAAAAUAGGAAAAAAAUAAAAAAAACAACAAAUCUUUAUUUAUGUGACUUCGUGGUAAGUCAUGACUGACCUUGGUUUUAUUACGUAAAAUAAAGUAGAUAAACUAAUAUACGCACGAAUACCAAGUAAAAAAAAAGGAAAAGAAAAAAAAAAUAAUAUUUACAAGUUGAAGAGAGACAAUCAUCUAACGAUUGUUAUAAAAAUAAAUUCAUGAUUACUUAAGAGAGAACUUCCUUUAGAAGCACAAAAUGGCCGCAUUAAAGUCUUUAGAAAAAAAUAAAUAAAUAAUAGUCAAUGUUGUUGAUUUAAGAUCGACUCUGCAUAAACUGUAAAUCUUCUGUUACGGCAACGAUGAUGUAACACAACGCAUUCGCUAUGCAUCCGUCGUCUCUUCAAAGAAACGUAAAAUACCGAGCGUGGAGAAUUAGAGUCAGAGUUAGAGUCAGAGUUAGAGUUAGAAUUAGAGUUAGAGUUAGAGUUAGAAAGAGGAGGAAGGCUGAAGUUGAAUCUGAAACGGUGCACAUCAUUUAUCGGUACUCUGUGAAAUCUCGGUCAAAUCGUUUUCCAUUACUAUAGAACUAUAACAGAAUAGCAGCGACAGCAUCUCGGAACUUCGUUAAGAUA